rnacentral:rRNA from 1 species
UGGGGAAUAUUGCACAAUGGGCGAAAGCCUGAUGCAGCAACGCCGCGUGAGUGAUGAAGGCCUUCGGGUUGUAAAGCUCUGUCUUUUGGGACGAUAAUGACGGUACCAAAGGAGGAAGCCACGGCUAACUACGUGCCAGCAGCCGCGGUAAUACGUAGGUGGCAAGCGUUGUCCGGAUUUACUGGGCGUAAAGGAUGCGUAGGCGGAUUUUUAAGUGAGAUGUGAAAACCCUAAGCUUAACUUGGGGACUGCAUUUCAUACUGGAAAUCUAGAGUGCGGGAGAGGAGAAUGGAAUUCCUAGUGUAGCGGUGAAAUGCGUAGAGAUUAGGAAGAACACCAGUGGCGAAGGCGAUUCUCUGGACCGUAACUGACGCUGAGGCAUGAAAGCGUGGGUAGCAAACAGGAUUAGAUACCCUGGUAGUCCACGCCGUAAACGAUGAGUACUAGGUGUAGGAGGUAUCGACCCCUUCUGUGCCGCAGUUAACACAAUAAGUACUCCGCCUGGGAAGUACGAUCGCAAGAUUAAAAACUUAAAGGAAUUGACGGGGUCAUAGCUGUUUCCU